rnacentral:rRNA from 1 species
ACGCCGCGUGAGUGAUGACGGCCUUCGGGUUGUAAAGCUCUGUCUUCAGGGACGAUAAUGACGGUACCUGAGGAGGAAGCCACGGCUAACUACGUGCCAGCAGCCGCGGUAAUACGUAGGUGGCGAGCGUUGUCCGGAUUUACUGGGCGUAAAGGGAGCGUAGGCGGAUUUUUAAGUGAGAUGUGAAAUACCCGGGCUCAACUUGGGUGCUGCAUUUCAAACUGGAAGUCUAAAGUGCAGGAAAGGAGAAUGGAAUUCCUAGUGUAGCGGGGAAAUGCGUAAAGAUUAGGAAAAACACCAUUGGCAAAGGCGAUUCUCUGGACUGUAACUGACGCUGAGGCUCGAAAGCGUGGGGAGCAAACAGGAUUAAUACCCGGGUAGUCCCGCCGUAAACGAUGAAUACUAGGUGUAGGGGUUGUCAUGACCUCUGUGCCGCCGCUAACGCAUUAAGUAUUCCGCCUGGGGAGUACGGUCCGCAGAUUAAAACUCAAGGAAUUGGGCGGGGAAAGGGUAAAGAAAGGGGAAAAAGGUUGGUUUAAAAAGGAAUUG